rnacentral:sRNA from 1 species
UGUCACAAUUGCCAUGCUUUUGUGUGAGCUUCUGCCUUCUGGUGUCUGGAAACCACUUUUCUUGAAAGUCUUUUACCACCUCCGGCUCUCGGACCCUGUUCUGCAAUGAUCCCUGAGCUUGGGGGUGAGACGUAAAUGAUCGGUUUGGAGCUGAGGACUCUACAGUCUUUAGUUCCCUGCACGUCACCCCCAGGUUGAAAAGAUGUCAGUUGUCCUGGCAAGUUCUGUGUCAAGUUGACAGACACUAGAGUCAUCAGUGAAGAGGGAGCCUCAGUUGAGAAGAUCUUGGAUAAGAUGGGGCGCCUGCUUAGAGCCCCAGAGGACCAGGCUAUCAUUGAGAGAGCAACAGAGAGAGCCCGUGUAGGAGGGUCACUGAGAAAGAUGAAUUUAAAAUACAGAAAAGGAACGAGCAAAAAGAUCAUUUACCAGCUGGAAGAUCUGCGGUCAGUGAAAAGAUUAACGGCAGAUUUUGGCAAAAUCGUUAUGGCUUCACGACAGAUGGAGGGACAUUUUUAAAAAGUCUGGCAAAGGGUCACUCUCCGGAAACAGAUGCCCAAUGUAGGAAAAUACAUUAGCCCAGGUGACGGAUUUCUCGUUCACUGCUUUGCACACUGCACUGAGUGUCACGGCUCCCGCCAUGUCCCCAGUGUCCUUUGGGAAACAUUAAGAUUCUGCCUCAAAGCCUGAACAACUCACUCAAUGCUGCCAAGAUGCAUAGGCCAUGUGUAGCUGUCAUCCAGCUCAUGGCACGGUCUCCCUAAGCAGUAACUCGUUUAGAGCAUCUUGGCCUGGAGAGCAUGCAUGGAGGAAUACCCUACAGGGUUUGCUCAAACGGCUACAGCUUCCUGGAGUGUGGAAAUUACAUAUCAGAGAUGGGAAAGAAACAUGGACUGCAUCAGAGGAACCACCAGAUUCCUCCGUACACACCAGCCCUUUGUAUAGGAGCUUUUCAUCCAGAUCAUAACAUCCCUUAUAUUGGAAACCAAUAGGUUCUCUUUUUGUCCAACUCAAAUAUUUUCCUUCUCACUCUACAUUCAUCUACAGCUCCCUGCUUGAGCCUGACCCUCUACCACUGUCUUGACAACCGUGUGCAGUUUGAUUUCUGUAUCCCCCAAACCUUACAGAGUCAGUGUUCCUUAACUGCAUCACUGGCUCUCAGCAAUGGAUUACUCUAGACUUCUCACUCCCUUGGCUUAGCAUGGGAUACUCCUUUUUGCCAGUUCUGUCUCUUAGCCUCUCUCUCCAUCUUGCUUUUCUCUUCUUUCCAGACCCUCACAUUUUUUGGUGGCUUAUCAAGAUUUCCUCCCCCCGCCUUCUGCCUUUUCUCUAGACAUUCGUGUUUCUACCGAAGAUGGGCCUCUGUUGGAGAGUGAGCACCUUCAAACUAGAAAUCAGCACCAGUCUUCUACCUAUAGCGCAGACCUGGUAUUUCCAAAGCUGUAGUUGGCCAGCCAGGGUCGCUUUAAGUAAAUGCAUGAUCUUUAAUUCACUUCUCUUUUUAAAGUUUGCUCUCUGUUCCAAAUAUUCCAAUUUUGAAAAACAGACUAAUGUUGGACAGUGUCUUUGAGAAUCUCUAUGGGUCUUG